CUUUCAAUUGUUUUAUGCUUGCAUAAAUGAUUUUUGGAUUCGGAGCGAGUGGCGAACUGGUGAGUAACACGUGGGUAACCUGCCCCGAAGCGGGGGAUAACAUUUGGAAACAAGUGCUAAUACCGCAUAAUUAGUUGGAACCGCAUGGUUCCAACUUGAAAGAUGGCUCUGCUAUCACUUUGGGAUGGACCCGCGCCGUAUUAGUUAGUUGGUGAGAUAAAAGCCCACCAAGACGAUGAUACGUAGCCGACCUGAGAGGGUAAUCGGCCACAUUGGGACUGAGACACGGCCCAGACUCCUACGGGAGGCAGCAGUAGGGAAUCUUCCACAAUGGACGAAAGUCUGAUGGAGCAACGCCGCGUGAGUGAUGAAGGUUUUCGGAUCGUAAAACUCUGUUGUUAAAGAAGAACAAGUGUUAGAGUAACUGUUAACACUUUGACGGUAUUUAACCAGAAAGCCACGGCUAACUACGUGCCAGCAGCCGCGGUAAUACGUAGGUGGCAAGCGUUGUCCGGAUUUAUUGGGCGUAAAGCGAGCGCAGGCGGUUUUGUAAGUCUGCUGUGAAAGCCCUCAGCUCAACUGAGGAAGUGCAGUGGAAACUACAAAACUUGAGUACAGAAGAGGAAAGUGGAACUCCAUGUGUAGCGGUGAAAUGCGUAGAUAUAUGGAAGAACACCAGUGGCGAAGGCGGCUUUCUGGUCUGUUACUGACGCUGAGGCUCGAAAGCAUGGGUAGCGAACAGGAUUAGAUACCCUGGUAGUCCAUGCCGUAAACGAUGAAUACUAGGUGUUGGAGGGUUUCCGCCCUUCAGUGCCGCAGCUAACGCAUUAAGUAUUCCGCCUGGGGAGUACGACCGCAAGGUUGAAACUCAAAGGAAUUGACGGGGGCCCGCACAAGUGGUGGAGCAUGUGGUUUAAUUCGAUGCUACGCGAAGAACCUUACCAGCUCUUGACAUCUUCUGCCAACCCAAGAGAUUGGCGUUCCCUUCGGGGACAGAUGACAGUGGUGCAUGGUUUGUCGUCAGCUCGUGUCGUGAGAUGUUGGGUUAAGUCCCGCACAAGCCCACCCUUAUUAUUAGUGCCAGCAUUUAAUGGCACCUUUAGGGAGACUGCGUGAUAACGGAGAGGUGGGGACAACCUCAAUAAUUAUGCCCC
rnacentral:rRNA from 1 species